ensembl:lncRNA
UGCUUUCUUAAUAAAUUUGCUUUCAACAAACUUGCUUUCUUAAUAAACUUGCCUGGAAUACUUUCUUGUGUGAGAUCCAAGAACCUUCUCUUGGGAUCUGGAUUGAGCCCCUUUCCGGUAACAAGAAUUCACUUUUCGUUGUAUGACAGGUGAGAGGAUGGCCCCGGGAAGAAAGUUUGGAAAAAGUCUCCUAGACAGGAAGUGGAAGGGAGGAAGGGAGGGAGAGAGGGAAAGAGGAAGUGAGAUGUCUUUCUUGACCACAGGCAGGUCCUUCAUGGUCUUUUUCCUGGCAAGUCUUAGACAUCUCAUGUGCUUCGCCCAGUUCUCACUGUCGAUACCUGGAAAUUAAUGGUUUUAUAGUGGGAUAAUGCCAUUCCUCUGAAGUCUGUGUCUGAUAUCCAUCAGCAGUACUUAAAACCACACAUCCCUUUUUGAAAUAACAAAACAGAUAAGCCGAAUAGAAAAUAAAACCUUUAACAGGCGAACUAAGAUGCUUUCAUGCAUUUUAUGCUAAAACCCUACCAAGUAUCUUUAAAAACUCUCUACCUGCGUUCACCUCAUCCCCUGAUUCGCAUUGUCCUCAGUAACGAAGACCUCACUGCCUAUCACUAACACCAAUUAGCUCACACCAAACUUCAGGACGCCAAGGAAAAGGAAAAAUCACUCUUCCAGCAGCGGUCAUUUAAGAAAAAAAAAAAUCGAUAAUGUGGAACUCCCUCCAAAAUUAGCCUACACCGUGAUAUAAAUUGGUUUUCUUUGUGAUCUAAAAUUGACUCGCCGUUCACUAGUUAGAAAAUAGUUGCUGAAAAGCCGGGGCCUUGGAGCUUUCGGAUCCUGCUCGCCUUUCAUCAUGUAAACAAACGCAUCAGAUUUAAAGCUUUCCCAUAAUUGUUAUGCUAACCUUGGAGCGCAACCUCUCCAUUUGCAUUUGAAGGAGCUAAAUAUUAGGCAGGAAAGAAAGUGCUCUUUUUGAAAGCCUGAGAAAAUGUCCCCGCUCGGGGCUGCUCCGCCAUCUGGGCCGCGGGCUGGGCGCGCGGCUCCCGCCCCCAGCUCCUUGGCAGAGGCGCCGGAGGAAGGGGCGCCGCGAAGGGCCGUCAUCUUGUUGGAAAAGAAUGCAGAAAUGCCCCCCGAAGGCUGAAUGAGCGCCACUUCCACACUCAGGGCGGGGGAGGCCGGGGGACGUGGGAGCGGCGCACCAGGAGCAAGGCGUCCCUGGUGACAGCGCGUCCCGAGGGCUCUCCCUUUUCCCAGAGCGCAUUCCAAAGGCCGACUCCUUUGCAGGCUCCACGAGCCCCAUUCGCGGUGGAGAGGGGCGUUCCAGGCUGCAGGACCCUUAGAGAUGAGAGUAUGAAAGAGAAAAUACAUACUCUGGAAUCCAUUGGUCCUACCCCACUUAUUCAGAAUAAUUCAAUUAAAAACGACACACAUCAUAUAGGAAUGUCAACAGUGAAGGCAACUUCCCAUGAAAAAAAUUAUGACAAAGUGUAUUUCCUGGCGCUGUGUCAAGCUCUCAGGAGUGAAUAUAUGGAUAGGAAUUGUUAG